rnacentral:rRNA from 1 species
CCUACGGGAGGCAGCAGUGGGGAAUAUUGGACAAUGGGGGGAACCCUGAUCCAGCCAUGCCGCGUGUGUGAAGAAGGCCCUCGGGUUGUAAAGCACUUUCAGUGAGGAAGAACGCCUGGUGGUUAAUACCCAUCAGGAAAGACAUCACUCACAGAAGAAGCACCGGCUAACUCCGUGCCAGCAGCCGCGGUAAUACGGAGGGUGCGAGCGUUAAUCGGAAUUACUGGGCGUAAAGCGCGCGUAGGUGGCUUGAUAAGCCGGUUGUGAAAGCCCCGGGCUCAACCUGGGAACGGCAUCCGGAACUGUCAAGCUAGAGUGCAGGAGAGGACUGUAGAAUUCCCGGUGUAGCGGUGAAAUGCGUAGAGAUCGGGAGGAAUACCAGUGGCGAAGGCGGCCUUCUGGACUGACACUGACACUGAGGUGCGAAAGCGUGGGUAGCAAACAGGAUUAGAUACCCUGGUAGUC